AUUGAACGCUGGCGGCAGGCCUAACACAUGCAAGUCGAGCGGAUGAGGAGUGCUUGCACUCCGAUUCAGCGGCGGACGGGUGAGUAAUGCCUAGGAAUCUGCCUGGUAGUGGGGGACAACGUUUCGAAAGGAACGCUAAUACCGCAUACGUCCUACGGGAGAAAGCAGGGGACCUUCGGGCCUUGCGCUAUCAGAUGAGCCUAGGUCGGAUUAGCUAGUUGGUGGGGUAAAGGCCCACCAAGGCGACGAUCAGUAGCUGGUCUGAGAGGACGACCAGCCACACUGGAACUGAGACACGGUCCAGACUCCUACGGGAGGCAGCAGUGGGGAAUUUUGGACAAUGGGCGCAAGCCUGAUCCAGCCAUUCCGCGUGAGUGAAGAAGGCCUUCGGGUUGUAAAGCUCUUUCGCAAGGGAAGAAAACUUACCCUCUAACAUAGGGUGAGGUUG
rnacentral:rRNA from 1 species